GACUCUCUUUUUGACUUUGAAGAAGAUGGAAAUAUUAGUGACAAUAGACAUGAAUAUAUUUCUGAACAUCUUAGUAAAAUGAAGAUUGCGUAUGAAAAAGCAGGGGAGCACUUAAGGAAAGAAGCUGUUUUACGAGAGAAAGCUCAUAAACACAAAAGCGUCCGAACAUAAACUUGAAGUUGGUACUCGAGUACUUAUUCGUAAUAGAGUACAAGGCCGAAAUAAAAUUCAGGACAAG
rnacentral:lncRNA from 1 species